AGACCUCAGCUUCCGGUCCCAGCCCACAGAGUCUUCAAUUUCCUUCGUCGGAAGUGACAUAUAGCUCCUAUUCUCCUUCGCGUCCAUAGAGGUGACACAGGCUGGAGAGGCGGAAGAAUGGGCGGGACGAGGGGCGGAAGCACCCCUCCUACCUGGACCCGGAAAAACUUGGCAACCCCGGGUCGGGCUAUCCGGAAACUGGCUCGAAGAAGACGGGUAGACGGGGAUUGGCCAUCGCUUCCGGAAGUUAUGAGUUUCGUUUCAGAGCGGGAGAUCUUCCGAGACUCACUGGGGACCGGAUGCAGAAUCCUGCUUAUCUGUGAAAUGCAGUUAACACAUCAGCUGGACCUAUUUCCUGAAUGCAGGGUGACUCUUCUGUUAUUUAAAGAUGUCAAAAAUCCAGGAGAUUUGAGAAGAAAGGCCAUGGAAGGGACCAUCGAUGGAUCACUGAUAAAUCCUACAGUGAUUGUCGAUCCAUUUCAGAUACUUGUGGCAGCAAACAAAGCAGUUCACCUCUACAAACUGGGAAAAAUGAAGACAAGAACUCUAUCUACUGAAAUUAUUUACAACCUUUCCCCAAAUAACAAUAUUUCAGAGGCUUUGAAAAAAUUUGGUAUCUCAGCAAAAGACACUUCUAAUUGUUUACAUUGAAGAGGAAGAAAAACAAAUCAAGAGUACCUGAUAUCUCAAGUAGAAGGUCAUCAGGUUUCUCUGGAAAGUCUUCCUGAAAUAACAAAUAUUACAGAGUCAAAAAGAUUACAUAAACUCUCUUCACAAGAAGAAAGUAUUGGGACAUUAUUGGAUGGUAUCAUUUGUAGAAUGUCAACAAAAGAUGUUUUGUGAAAUGUCAAAAAUAUUAACAGAAAUUCUCAGCAUUAAAGAAAACAUUGAUCUUCCUUG